rnacentral:rRNA from 1 species
GAGUUUGAUUCUGGCUCAGGAUGAACGCUGGCGGCGUGCCUAAUACAUGCAAGUUGAACGGACUUGGAGGGUGCUUGCACCUAACAGGUUAGUAGCGAACGGGUGAGUAAUACAUAAGCAACCUACCUAUUAGCCUGGGAUAACUAUGGGAAACGAUAGCUAAUACCGGAUAGGUAACUUGAAGGCAUCUUUAAGUUAUUAAAGGUUAGAGACACUAAUAGAUGGGCUUAUGGCGUAUUAGUUAGUUGGUGAGGUAACGGCUCACCAAGACGAUGAUACGUAGCCGGCCUGAGAGGGUGAACGGCCACAUUGGGACUGAGACACGGCCCAGACUCCUACGGGAGGCAGCAGUAGGGAAUUUUCGGCAAUGGGCGCAAGCCUGACCGAGCAACGCCGCGUGAGUGAAGAAGGCCUUCGGGUUGUAAAGCUCUGUUAUAAAUUAAGAAUGGCUAUAAGGGA